rnacentral:rRNA from 1 species
UACGUAGGGGGCAAGCGUUGUCCGGAUUUAUUGGGCGUAAAGAGCGUGUAGGCGGUUUGGUAGGUCCGCUGUGAAAACUCGAGGCUCAACCUCGAGACGCCGGUGGAAACCAUCAGACUAGAGUCCGGAAGAGGAGAGUGGAAUUCCUGGUGUAGCGGUGAAAUGCGCAGAUAUCAGGAAGAACACCGAUGGCGAAGGCAGAUCUCUGGGCCGUAACUGACGCUGAGGAGCGAAAGCAUGGGGAGCGAACAGG